GAUGAACGCUGGCGGCGUGCCUAAUACAUGCAAGUCGAGCGAACAGACGAGGAGCUUGCUCCUCUGACGUUAGCGGCGGACGGGUGAGUAACACGUGGAUAACCUACCUAUAAGACUGGGAUAACUUCGGGAAACCGGAGCUAAUACCGGAUAAUAUAUUGAACCGCAUGGUUCAAUAGUGAAAGACGGUUUUGCUGUCACUUAUAGAUGGAUCCGCGCCGCAUUAGCUAGUUGGUGAGGUAACGGCCUACCAAGGCAACGAUGCGUAGCCGACCUGAGAGGGUGAUCGGCCACACUGGAACUGAGACACGGUCCAGACUCCUACGGGAGGCAGAAGUAGGGAAUCUUCCGCAAUGGGCGAAAGCCUGACGGAGCAACGCCGCGUGAGUGAUGAAGGUCUUCGGAUCGUAAAACUCUGUUAUUAGGGAAGAACAAAUGUGUAAGUAACUAUGCACGUCUUGACGGUACCUAAUCAGAAAGCCAUGGCUAACUACGUGCCAGCCGCCGCCGUAACAC
rnacentral:rRNA from 1 species